rnacentral:rRNA from 1 species
CGGGGUGCACCAGGCGCGAAAACUCUACAAUGCAGGCAACUGCGAUAGGGGGACAUCGAGUGGCAUCCACCUUGGGUGCCUGUCCAACCGUCUAAAAAACGGUUGUUAGCAAGGGCCGGGUAAGACCGGUGCCAGCCGCCGCGGUAAUACCGGCGGCUCGAGCGGUGGCCGAUAUUAUUGAGUCUAAAGGGUCCGUAGCCGGCUUUGCAAGUCCCCUGGGAAAUCCAGCGGCUUAACCGUUGGGCUUUCAUGGGAUACUACAUUGCUUGGGACUGGGAGAGGUAGGAGGUACUCGGGGGGUAGGGGUGAAAUCCUGUAAUCCUCCGGGGACCACCGGUGGCGAAGGCGUCCUACCAGAACAGGUCCGACGGUGAGGGACGAAAGCUAGGGGCACGAACCGGAUUAGAUACCCGGGUAGUCCUAGCCGUAAACGAUGCCCGCUAGGUGUCACGACGGUCGUGAAUCGUCGUGGUGCCGUAGGGAAGCCGCGAAGCGGGCCACUUGGGAAGUACGGCCGCAAGGCUGAAACUUAAAGGAAUUGGCGGGGGAGCACAAGGGCGAUUCGCG